rnacentral:rRNA from 1 species
CACGUAGGGCGCAAGCGUUGUCCGGAAUUAUUGGGCGUAAAGAGCUCGUAGGCGGACUGUCACGUCCGCUGUGAAAAGCUAGGGCUUAACCCUGGCCUUGCAGUGGAUACGGGCAGACUAGAGGUAGGUAGGGGAGAAUGGAAUUCCCGGUGUAGCGGUGAAAUGCGCAGAUAUCGGGAAGAACACCCGUGGCGAAGGCGGCUCUCUGGGACGGUACUGACGCUGAGACGCGAAAGCGUGGGGAGCGAACAGG